UAUGGGGUCUGAUGUGGGGUGUGGAGUUAAUGGGGUCUGAUGUGGGGUAUGGGAUCUGUUAUGGGGUCUGUUAUGGGAUGUGGGAUCAGUGGGGUCUGCUAUGGGGUCUCCUUUGGGGUGUGGGAUUAAUGGGGUCUGUUAUGGGAUCUGCUGUGGAGUUUGAGGUUUGCAGUGGGGUUUGCAACGGGGUUCUGCAGUGGGGUUUGGGGUCAGUGGGGUCCUCUGUGGGGUCUGGGGUUUGCAAUGGGGUUCUGCAGUUGGGGGUCGCGUGUUCGUCAUGGGGUUUUUGCAUUUGGGGGUUUUUGCAUUUGGGUUUUGGGGUUUUGCAUUUGCAGCGGGUUUUGCAUUUGCCCCAUUACUCACAUUUGCAUUUGGGGUUUUUGCAUUUGCAUUUAGGGUUUUGCAUUCGCCCCAUUGCUCAUGUGUGCAUUUGGGGUUCUGCAUUUGCAGCAGUGUUUGCAUUUGCAUUUGAGGGUUCCCACAUUUGCAUUUGGGGUUUUGCAUUCGCCCCGUUGCAUCUCAAGCUCUGCGUUUGCAUUUGAGGGUUCUGCAAUUUGCAUUUGCAGCAGGGUUUGCAUUCUGGGGUUCUGCAUUUGCAGUGGGUUUUGCAUUCGCCCCGUUGCUCACAUUUGCAUUUUGGGGUUUUGCAUUUGCAUUUAGGGUUUUGUAUUUAUCCUGUUGCUCGCAUUUGCAUUUGGGGUUUUGCAUUUGCAGCAGGGUCUGCAUUUGCCCGUUUGCAUUUGGGGUUUUUGUGUUGGCAUUUAGGGUUUUGCAUUCACCCCGUUGCUCACAUUUGCGUUCAGGGUUUUGCAUUUGCAGCAGGGUCUGCAUUUGCCCCCGUUUGCAUUUGGGGGUUUUGCUUUUGCCCCAUUGCUCACAUUUGGGUUUUGGGGUUUUGCAUUUGGGGUUUUGCAAAAGCUCUGCAUUUGCAUUUGGAGGUUCUGCAAUUUGCAUUUGCAGCGGGUUUUGCAUUUUGGGGUUUUUGCAUUUGCGUUUUGGGGUUUUGCAUUUGCAGCAGGUUUUGCACUCACCCCGUUGCUCACGUUUGCAUUCGGGGUUUUGCAUUUGCAAAAAAAAAAAGGGUUUGCAUUCAGCCCGUUUGCAUUUGGGGUUUUGCAUUUGCAUUUAGGGUUUUGCAUUCGCCCCGUUGCUCACGUUUGCAUUUGGGGUUUUGCAUUUGCAGCAGGGUUUGCGUUUGCAUUCGAGGGUUCCCACAUUUGCAUUUGGGGUUUUUGCAUUUGCGUUUUGGGGUUUUGCAUUUGCAGCAGGGUUUGCAUUUUCACCCCAUUUGCAUUUGGGGUUUUUGCAUUUGCAUUUAGGGUUUUGCAUUAGCCCCAUUGCUCACAUUUGCAUUUGGGGUUUUGCAUUUGCAGCAGGGUCUGCAUUCACCCCAUUUGCAUUUUGGGGUUUUGCAUUUAGGGUUUUGCAUUUUGGGGUUUUGUGUCUGGGGUUUUGUGUUUGGGGUUUUGUGUUUGGGGUUUUGCAUUUGCCCCAUUACUCACAUUUGCAUUUGUGGGUUUUUGCAUUUGUGGGGUUUUUGCA
rnacentral:lncRNA from 1 species